rnacentral:SRP_RNA from 1 species
CGCGACCCCUCGCGCGGCAUCACCUCGCUGAACCCCCCCAGGGCCGGAAGGCAGCAAGGGCAGGCGGGCUCUGAUGGGUGCGCGGGGGGUCCUUGCA